AUUGAACGCUGGCGGCAUGCCUUACACAUGCAAGUCGAACGGUAACAGGUCUUCGGAUGCUGACGAGUGGCGAACGGGUGAGUAAUACAUCGGAACGUGCCUAGUAGUGGGGGACAACUACUCGAAAGAGUGGCUAAUACCGCAUGAGAUCUACGGAUGAAAGCAGGGGAUCGCAAGACCUUGUGCUACUAGAGCGGCCGAUGGCAGAUUAGGUAGUUGGUGGGAUAAAAGCUUACCAAGCCGACGAUCUGUAGCUGGUCUGAGAGGACGAUCGGCAACAGUGGGACUGGGACACGGCCCAGACUCCUACGGGAGGCAGCAGUGGGGAAUUUUGGACAAUGGGCGCAAGCCUGAUCCAGCAAUGCCGCGUGCAGGAUGAAGGCCUUCGGGUUGUAAACUGCUUUUGUACGGAACGAAAAGCCCCGGGUUAAUACCCUGGGGUCAUGACGGUACCGUAAGAAUAAGCACCGGCUAACUACGUGCCAGCCGCCGCGGUAA
rnacentral:rRNA from 1 species